UUAAUACUGGCAUUGCUCUUGGGAGCCAAGGAGUCCUAGACGACUGAAUUCUGCUGUGAGGUCUGUAGCUCAGGGAGAAGAUGAGACAAGUGGACUUGGAAAGAACAAUCUUCCUCGAAAAAGCCCUCAGGGUGCAAAGAAGAGAAAUGCAAUAAAAUAAUAACGAGGAGGCCCAGGACCCACACAAGGGCACCACUGCAAGUAGGUACUUCGAGGAAACUUCCUGAUGCUUGUCCAGCCCUUGGUGGUGGUGCCCAGCAGCCCGUAUUCUUAUCUCAAAGCAAUGUGUGUGGAGACAGCCCUGCAAAAGCUGAGAGAUUGUGUGCCCAGAGACAUGUUCCAGGAAUGGAAACAGGGAGUGGAGGUGGGUUUCCUUCUCUCCUCCCGUCUCCCGCUAGAGUGGGCGGUCCCUUUGGUGUCAUCGCACUGUCUUCAUAGCCUACUGCGCUCCAGGCCUGUGCGCCCAUGGAGGUCUUGGACCACGAGUGAGCCAUGAGCCCUCCCAAGCCCCAAGGCUAGGUCUGAAGCGGGCUGAUGUGCGCCCCUGGCUUUGUUGCCCAGAUCCUCACCACAAUCCCAGCAUCCCACCACUCUACUGCGAGAAGAGACAAGGGAGGAGAUGCAUACCUCAAAGAAGGAGCA
rnacentral:lncRNA from 1 species